ensembl:snRNA Gm25020 predicted gene, 25020
GUGCUCGCUUCAGCAGCACAUAUACUAAAAUUGGAACAGUACAGAGAAGAUUAGCAUGGUGCCUGCCCAAGGAUGACACACAAAUUCAUGAAGCAUUCCAUAUUUUU